rnacentral:rRNA from 1 species
GACGUAGGGUGCAAGCGUUGUCCGGAUUUAUUGGGCGUAAAGAGCUCGUAGGCGGCUUGUUGCGUCGACUGUGAAAACCCGCGGCUUAACCGCGGGCUUGCAGUUGAUACGGGCAGGCUAGAGUUCGGUAGGGGAGACUGGAAUUCCUGGUGUAGCGGUGAAAUGCGCAGAUAUCAGGAGGAACACCGGUGGCGAAGGCGGGUCUCUGGGCCGGUACUGACGCUGAGGAGCGAAAGCAUGGGGAGCGAACAGG